rnacentral:lncRNA from 1 species
AUGCAUCUUACACUGCAUGGUCACAAGGUGGCCCUGUUAGGAGUAUAUGGUGUGAAUGAUGAUGCUCCCGCCAAUCUAAAGGAUCAGUUCUUUGAGCAACUCAACGACGAGGUUCUGAGGGUGAGAAGGACAAGAAAGAUCAUUAUCAUGAGAGAUUUGAAUGGUAAAACCGGACGAAAGAAUGGUUCUAAAGUCGUUGGACCUUUUGGUGAAGAGGCGGUGAAUGACAACGGUGCACGCAUCAUUGAUAUGUGUGAACAAAACGAGUUGAAAAUACUGAACGGAUUCUACCAACAUCGAGAUAUCCAUAAGUACACUUCGGUUCAGCAAACUCGGGGGCUGAAGUCAAUCAUCGACUACGCGGUCACCAGGCAAACGAGUACCAUGAAGGUUCAACAAGUGAGAGUUUGCCGGGGGUUCUCCUGUGGUAGUGAUUGCCAUUUUCUCAAGGCGGAGAUUGCAUUUCCGGUUAAGUAUGGGCUGCAGAGGAAUACCUUGCAACAUCAGAAGUGCCAGCCGAACGAAGAACAAAGAUCGAACAAGUGCCGGUGUAUUGCGCGGAUGUGCUGGAAGUGCUGAUUGAUGAAAACACGCUGUAGCAUUUGUUGCUUGGUUGCACCGCGAGUCCAAAAAGAAAUCGGUCACUGAUGUCCAAAGCUAUUGGCACAAAUCCAAGCUAUCAAGCAUUAAGCCCUCAACUUCAGAAGAUAUGAUCUUGGAGAAAAUGGUUAAGCAAAAGGUUGCUGCAGUUGUUGCCAAUGAUGCAGCCAAUUCACAAGAAGAAGCCUUCUAUAAAGAGCUUACCAAGGUGCUAUGCAAGGAUGAAUCUUGCUCAUCUGUGCUUAAGCAACAUGUGAGUGUGAUAUUUUCAUACUUUGUCAACGCCAUUUAUAAAGUUUGGCUGCAAUGUAAAUGCAGACGAUCUCUUACUUUUUUGUAGCAGCGUUAUGAAAGAUAAUGAGUGCAAAAAGUUGGCGAGACUAACUGCGAAACAAGCCGAUGACUCGUUAUGGUUUGAUUUAAGACUGGUGCAACCCUGCCUUUUUUCCAAGUUUUGCUGGUAUCUUGUUUGAAAUUAUGUGUAUAUUUUUUAAGGUAAUUUUUGUUUUUCAAGGGUUUUAACCUGAAUUUACUAGUUUGUUAGGUAUCUGAUCAAAUAAUUUAAUCGCUGACUAAAAAGUUCAAAGGUCAGUCGAGAAUACCAUUUACCUUUUACAGUUUCUUUAACCCUUUGUUCAUUUCCUUCCAAUGUACUUUCUGCGCAUGAUUAUCGAGCAUGCUACUAAAUAUGGCUUGGAACCUCCAAAUUUCUAUCAAUUAAUUAUAUAAUAGAAUAAUUGAUUAAUUAUUGCCUUUCUUUUAUUUGUACUUUCGAAACUGACUUUUUACAAGUGCAUCGUAGAUUAAUGUUUGCUAUGUCAUCAAAACGCGUUUGUUUUUGCAGCAUGUUGCAGUCUUGUAAAUAAAAUUAUGUGUGGGGUCAGAUUUAUAAUCAGCCCUCAGGAUUUGAGCCAGGAACAUAAAAAAAGGGAAGAAGAAAAUUGAAUAUGGCAUUUUUCCCCCAAAAUCACACAGAAUCCAAGGACUUUUUACAUAUCGACGGUGAAAGUACCAGACCACGCAUCUCGGUUUGCCACGUUGUAGACUUUCUGUCAUACUUUAUUUUUUAAUAGAAAACUACUCAAUGUCAAUUCUUGAAAACUGCCGUGUUUUUUCUUCUCUGUGCGAAGAAAACUCUGUGAAUAUUUCAAGAAAUGGUUUUGAUUUGUUCUCCUUCAAAAAAAUAAAAUGGGAGCGGAGAUUUUUAAACGCUGCAAACGAGAUAUGUGGUCUAGUAUAGUUUCAUCGUCAAUAUGUUUUUCCCCCAAAAAAAUUGUGGAGUAUCCUUUCAGAAUUCCUCAUUUCAAAUCGGCUUUUUGUAAAUCAAUAAUUACCUAAGUAUCUCUGUUCUGAGCUUACUUUUUUUAAGGUUGUGAAAAAGAAGUCAAAAAUUGUUAGAAGUAGAGAAAUUGAGUGUAACUAUAUUAGAUUUGAACAUUAUAUUGUAAAAAAUUGUACAUUCUAUCUUUUCACUACAUGAAAGUAAAUCUUUGUCCUUGGUUCAAUCAAAUAAAUACAUUGAUGACAGUUGAUCAGUAUUAGAAAAGUUGGAAAAUCAGCCUCUAAGGCCAAUCUUAAGGUCCUGAAUCCUAGUUUAGCCGUCAAAUGUAGGAGAAAAUAACAAUUGCUGAACUCCAAAACCACGCCCUUUUUUCUGUCUCACUCUCCUUUUUUUGAGAAACUAUUGAACCUAAUAUCUUGGAAAUUACUGUGGUUUUUCUUGUCUGUUGAAAGAAGAAAAAAUAAUAAAAUAUAUAUUUUAAAAAUAAAUAUUAAAAUGUUUUUUAUCAUACUCUUUAGUUCAUUCGGGAGCCUUUUAAAUAGUUUUUCCCCCUCUGUAUUCUAAUGUGGUAUUACUAGCAGUAUCCUCUUUUGUUAGGAUUAUUCUUGGCUCUAAAAAAGUGUAGUCUUGAUUAUGGAACAUUGAUUGUUGUUAAAAUGUUAAUGUAAUUGAUUCAAUAAUUUUUUCCCCAUUCAAUUUGAAUUUUCAGACUCGUAGUAUCUAUUACAAAUCCCACCAGGAUCUUUUGUGCAGAAUUUAAUGGUUAAGAAAGUCAGAUUAAAGGAAAUGUUGGUUUAGCUAAUUAUCUUGACUUUCCCAUGCAUUUUUUUUUUUAGAUUUAGAUUUUCUUCUUUAGUCGAAUUCGUUACGGUUCCACUUUUCUCCAAACAUGUCAAAAUUUAGAUCGACUUUAGGGUGGUAUCCAUUACGGAAUAUUUUUUGCCACAAUUAGUCACAAACAUUGCCAUUAUGUUGCCCAGAAACGUAUCCAUAUAAUUGGCAACGUUGCCUUGCCAAGUGAGAGGGAGGGUAGUCGUAAAUUUGGUCCUGGUUGAAAUUGCCUCAAUAAUUCAAGCAACGUUAUCAAAGCGUUUUCGUGUAAUAUUUAUAAAAAAGUGCCAGGAUAAUAUAUCCGAAAUGUUACUCAGCAAUAACAUGGUAACAUUAUUGUGAAACAUUGCAGAAACAUUGCCAGGAUACGUUGCGGCCCGUGAGACAAAAUUCUGUUUGCCACAACCUUGUCAACACUUUGCCAGGAAACUGUUGGAGGAUGUCUAAAUCAAGACGACACUAAAUGAAGUUUAAGACAUGUUUUAUUCCGACAUAAAAUAUGGAUGAAACUGAUUGACAAAAGAUACACACGCAUGGCGCACAGAGAGAGAACAAGAUAGAGAGGUCAACAUAGAGUAACUAGAGGGACGCACAGACAAUACAGAUUGUGCAGUAGGAUUAUCACUACCUUCCAACACACCCCCUUAAUCCGGAUGCACAUGAUGUGGGAUAUAUAAAUGAUGAAAGAGAAAAGUAAGGAAAAUGAUCAAAUUGAGAAAUUUGAAGAAACACCUGGAAGAGGUUUAUAGCAGUUCUUUUGACUGCAGCAUGUUUUCAACACAGAAGAUAUGCUUACUUUUGUUAAGGGUUUUAGUUAAAACAUCUGCUAUCAUGAGAUCGGUUGGUAAAUACUCAAGUUUAAUGAUAUUUUAUUGAUAGCUUCACGAAUAAAGUGGUGACGGACAUCAAUAUGUUUAGUUCUAUGAUGAACAGUUGUAUGUGAUGCUAAUUCUUGAGCACUUUGAUUGUCAUUCAAUACUGAAAUACAAAUGCUGUUUUUAAUUUUAAGUACUUCGUGAUGUAAGUUAAAUAAAAAAACUGCUUCUUUUGAAGCUUCUGCCAUACUCAUGUAUUCCGCUUCAGUGGAUGAUAGAGCAACCGUCGACUGUUUUUGCUGCACCAUGAAAUUGGAGCAUUGCCAAACUUAAAUAGAUAUCCAGUGUAGGAUUUACGAUCAAUGGGGCAAUUAGCAUAAUUAGCAUCGGCAUAGGCGAUGAUAGGCAUACCUGUUUUCUUAUAGACAAGGCUGAGAUCUGAAGUCCCUUUUAAAUAACGUAAUAUUCGUUUUGCACCUUGCCAGUGAAUUGGCUGAGGACAACUGUUGAAUUGACUGAGAAGGCUUACACUAUGAGCUAUAUCGGGGCGAGAACCUACAACUAGGUACAUGAGUGCUCCAAUUAGGUUCUGAUAGGGUAUAUUAGUCAUGUCGACCAUUUCUGUUUGUGAUUCAUUUUGUCUUGCUGUUGAGGUUUUUUCCCGUCAUUGUUAAUGGACAUUAAAGGCGUAGGUACUGAUUUACAAUCUGACAUGUUAAAUUUUUCAAGAAGUCUAAGAAUAUAGGUUUUCUGAUUGACAAUGAUUUCUUUGGAAUUUUGUCUUGUUUUACAUUCAUUCCUAAGAACAAUUUUACUGGACCUAGAUCUUUGACAUUAAAAUUGUUUGCAAUUUCUUUUUUGAAGUGAUUAAAAGUUUGAUCAGAUUUAUUAAGGACAAGGAAGUCAUCAACAUAGACACCAAUAAUAAUGGUUGACGAUUCAUUGAUUUGAAGUAAACGCAAGGUUGGUGAGCAGAUUUUAGGAAUCCUAACUUUGUUAAAGUGUCAUCAACCUUGACAUAGA